GCUGAUGUGGCUCAGGGGUAGAGCACUUCCUUGGUAAGGAAGAGGUCGGCGGUUCGAUUCCGCUCAUCAGCUCCA
rnacentral:tRNA from 2 species